UACGUAGGGUGCAAGCGUUGUCCGGAAUUAUUGGGCGUAAAGAGCUCGUAGGCGGUUCGUCACGUCGGCUGUGAAAUCCCGAGGCUCAACCUCGGGUCUGCAGUCGAUACUGGCGAGCUAGAGUGCGGUAGAGGAUGGUGGAAUUCCCGGUGUAGCGGUGAAAUGCGUAGAGAUCGGGAGGAACACCCGUGGCGAAGGCGGCCAUCUGGACCAGCACUGACGCUGAGGCACGGAAAGCGUGGGGAGCAAACAGGG
rnacentral:rRNA from 1 species